rnacentral:rRNA from 1 species
CGGCGGACGGGUGAGUAACGCGUGGGUAACCUGCCUCAUACAGGGGGAUAACAGUUGGAAACGGCUGCUAAUACCGCAUAAGCGCACAGUACCGCAUGGUACGGUGUGAAAAACUCCGGUGGUAUGAGAUGGACCCGCGUCUGAUUAGCCAGUUGGCAGGGUAACGGCCUACCAAAGCGACGAUCAGUAGCCGACCUGAGAGGGUGACCGGCCACAUUGGGACUGAGACACGGCCCAA